GAGUUUGAUCCUGGCUCAGAACGAACGCUGGCGGCAGGCCUAAUACAUGCAAGUCGAGCGCGCCCUUCGGGGUGAGCGGCGGACGGGUGAGUAACGCGUGGGAAUAUGCCCUUCUCUAAGGAAUAGCCUCUGGAAACGGAGAGUAAUACCUUAUACGCCCUUUGGGGGAAAGAUUUAUCGGAGAAGGAUUAGCCCGCGUUAGAUUAGGUAGUUGGUGGGGUAAUGGCCUACCAAGCCUACGAUCUAUAGCUGGUUUGAGAGGAUGAUCAGCCACACUGGGACUGAGACACGGCCCAGACUCCUACGGGAGGCAGCAGUAGGGAAUCUUAGACAAUGGGGCAACCCUGAUCUAGCCAUGCCGCGUGUGUGAUGAAGGCCCUAGGGUCGUAAAGCACUUUCGCCAGAGAUGAUAAUGACAGUAUCUGGUAAAGAAACCCCGGCUAACUCCGUGCCAGCAGCCGCGGUAAUACGGAGGGGGUUAGCGUUGUUCGGAAUUACUGGGCGUAAAGCGCACGUAGGCGGAUUAGUAAGUUAGAGGUGAAAUCCCAGGGCUCAACCCUGGAACUGCCUUUAAUACUGCUAGUCUUGAGUUCGAGAGAGGUAAGUGGAAUUCCGAGUGUAGAGGUGAAAUUCGUAGAUAUUCGGAGGAACACCAGUGGCGAAGGCGGCUUACUGGCUCGAUACUGACGCUGAGGUGCGAAAGUGUGGGGAGCAAACAGGAUUAGAUACCCUGGUAGUCCACACCGUAAACGAUGAAUGCCAGACGUCAGCAAGUAUACUUGUUGGUGUCACACCUAACGGAUUAAGCAUUCCGCCUGGGGAGUACGGUCGCAAGAUUAAAACUCAAAGGAAUUGACGG
rnacentral:rRNA from 1 species